rnacentral:rRNA from 1 species
UACGUAGGGUGCAAGCGUUUGUCCGGAAUUAUUGGGCGUAAAGAGCUCGUAGGCGGUCUGUCGCGUCUGCUGUGAAAACUCAGGGCUUAACCCUGAGCUUGCAGUGGGUACGGGGCAGACUAGAGUGCGGUAGGGGGAGACUGGAAUUCCUGGUGUAGCGGUGAAAUGCGCAGAUAUCAGGAGGAACACCGAUGGCGAAGGCAGGUCUCUGGGCAUUAACUGACGCUGGAGG